GGGGGUAUAGCUCACAGGUAGAACCUUUGACAUCAGAUCAAGAGAUCCCCAGUUCAAAUCUGUGUGCCCCCU
rnacentral:tRNA from 1 species